rnacentral:rRNA from 1 species
AGAGUUUGUAUCCUGGCUCAGGAUGAACGCUGGCGGCGUGCUUAACACAUGCAAGUCGAACGAUGAAGCCCAGCUUGCUGGGUGGAUUAGUGGCGAACGGGUGAGUAACACGUGAGUAACCUGCCCUUGACUCUGGGAUAAGCCUGGGAAACUGGGUCUAAUACCGGAUAGGAACGUCCACCGCAUGGUGGUUGUUGGAAAGAUUUAUCGGUCAUGGAUGGACUCGCGGCCUAUCAGCUUGUUGGUGAGGUAAUGGCUCACCAAGGCGACGACGGGUAGCCGGCCUGAGAGGGUGACCGGCCACACUGGGACUGAGACACGGCCCAGACUCCUACGGGAGGCAGCAGUGGGGAAUAUUGCACAAUGGGCGAAAGCCUGAUGCAGCGACGCCGCGUGAGGGAUGACGGCCUUCGGGUUGUAAACCUCUUUCAGUGGGGAAGAAGCGAAAGUGACGGUACCUGCAGAAGAAGCACCGGCUAACUACGUG